rnacentral:rRNA from 1 species
UACGAAGGGGGCUAGCGUUGUUCGGAUUUACUGGGCGUAAAGCGCACGUAGGCGGAUUUUUAAGUCAGGGAUUGAAAUCCCGGGGCUCAACCCCGGAACUGCCUUUGAUACUGGAAGUCUUGAGUAUGGUAGAGGUGAGUGGAAUUCCGAGUGUAGAGGUGAAAUUCGUAGAUAUUCGGAGGAACACCAGUGGCGAAGGCGGCUCACUGGACCAUUACUGACGCUGAG